rnacentral:rRNA from 1 species
GAUGAUGCAUAGCCGAGUUGAGAGACUGAUCGGCCCACAAUGGGACUGAGACAACGGCCCAUACUCCUUACGGGAGGGCAGCAGUAGGGAAUCUUCCACAAUGGGCGAAAGCCUGAUGGAGCAACGCCGCGUGUGUGAUGAAGGGUUUCGGCUCGUAAAACACUGUUGUAAGAGAAGAAUGACAUUGAGAGUAACUGUUCAAUGUGUGACGGUAUCUUACCAGAAAGGAACGGCUAAAUACGUGCCAGCAGCCGCGGUAAUACGUAUGUUCCAAGCGUUAUCCGGAUUUAUUGGGCGUAAAGCGAGCGCAGACGGUUAUUUAAGUCUGAAGUGAAAGCCCUCAGCUCAACUGAGGAAUUGCUUUGGAAACUGGAUGACUUGAGUGCAGUAGAGGAAAGUGGAACUCCAUGUGUAGCGGUGAAAUGCGUAGAUAUAUGGAAGAACACCAGUGGCGAAGGCGGCUUUCUGGACUGUAACUGACGUUGAGGCUCGAAAGUGUGGGUAGCAAACAGGAUUAGAUACCCUGGUAGUCCACACCGUAAACGAUGAGUGCUAGGUGUUUGAGGGUUUCCGCCCUUAAGUGCCGCAGCUAACGCAUUAAGCACUCCGCCUGGGGAGUACGACCGCAAGGUUGAAACUCAAAGGAAUUGACGGGGACCCGCACAAGCGGUGGAGCAUGUGGUU